GAUGAACGCUGGCGGCAUGCCUAAUAUAUGCAAGUCGAACGAGAGGAAGGAAAGCUUGCUUUUCUGAAUCUAGUGGCGAACGGGUGAGUAACACGUAGGUAACAUGCCCAUGUGCCCGGGAUAACUUCUGGAAACGGAUGCUAAAACCGGAUAGGUAGCAGACAAGCAUUUGACUGCUAUUAAAGUGGCUAAGGCCAUGAACAUGGAUGGACCUGCGGGCAUUAGCUAGUUGGUGAGGUAACGGCCCACCAAGGCGACGAUGCAUAGCCGGCCUGAGAGGGCGGACUGCAGCAUUGGGAAUGCAAAACGGCCCGAACUACUACGGGAUGCAGCAGUAGGGAAUUUUCGUCAAUGGGGGUAACCCUGAUCGAGCAAUGCCGCGUGAGUGAGUAAGGUCUUCGGAUCGUAAAGCUCUGUUGUAAGAGAAAAACGACAUUCAUAGGGAAUGAUGAGUGAGUGAUGGUAUCUUACCAGAAAGUCACGGCUAACUACGUGCCAGCCGCCGCGGUAAAAC
rnacentral:rRNA from 1 species